GAUGAACGCUAGCGGCAGGCCUAACACAUGCAAGCCGAACGGCAAGUUUGAUAGCAAUUUUCGACCUAGAGUGGCGCACGGAUGAGUAACACGUAUGCAACCUGCCCGCGACAGGAGGCUAGCUCUACGAAAGGGGAAUUAACCCUCCAUAACACCAUGAGCAGGCAUCUGAUUAUGGUUAAACCGCAAGGGGUCGCGUAUGGGCAUGCGGUUGAUUAGCUAGUUGGCGGGGUAAAGGCCCACCAAGGCGGUGAUCAAUAGGGGUUCUGAGAAGAAGGUCGCCCGAACUGGCACUGAGAUACGGGCCAGAUGCGUACGGGAGGCGGCAGUAGGGAAUAGUGGACGAUGGUUGCAAGACGGAACCAGCCAUGGCGCGUGCAGGAAGAGGGCCGUGGAGGUCGUAGGCUGCUUUUUCCUGAGGAUAAAAUACCCGUGCGCAGGGAAUGAAGGGUAACAGGGGAAUAAGCCACGGCUAACUACGU
rnacentral:rRNA from 1 species